rnacentral:rRNA from 1 species
AGUGGAUGGGGAGCAACCUAGUUGUGCGUGUGUAAAGGUAGUGCCAAGAAAAGCGGUGAUCAUGAUGAAAAUCAAUUCCCGGUACCCGAAACCGACACAGGUGGGCAAGUAGAGAAUACUAAGGGGCGCGAGGUAACUCUCUCCAAGGAACUCGGCAAAAUGACCCCGUAACUUAGGGAGAAGGGGUGCCACCGAGAGGUGGUCGCAGUGAAGAGGCCCAGGCGACUGUUUAGCAAAAACAUAGGUCUCUGCAAACUCGAAAGAGGAGGUAUAGGGGCUGACGCCUGCCCAGUGCCGGAAGGUUAAAGAAGUUGGUCAGUCUUAGGAUAAAGCUAGCGACUGAAGCCCCGGUGAACGGCGGCCGUAACUAUAACGGUCCUAAGGUAGCGAAAUUCCUUGUCGGGUAAGUUCCGACCCGCACGAAAGGCGUAACGAUCUGGGCGCUGUCUCGGAGAGAGGCUCGGCGAAAUAGGAUUGUCUGUGAAGAUACGGACUACCUGCAUUUGGACAGAAAGACCCUAUGAAGCUUUACUAUAGCUUGGAAUUGUGUUCGGGCUUCCUGUGCGCAGGAUAGGUGGGAGGCGUAGAAGGUAUUCUUGUGGGGAUACUGGAGCCAACGGUGAGAUACCACUCUCAGGAGGCUAGAAUUCUAACUUAAUUAAGGACAGUUUCAGGUGGGUAGUUUGACUGGGGCGGUCGCCUCCAAAAAGGUAACGGAGGCGUACGAAGGUUCCCUCAGACUGGUUGGAAAUCAGUCGCAGAGUGCAAAGGCAGAAGGGAGCUUGACUGCGAGAAGUACAGUUCGAGCAGGGUGGAAACACGGUCUUAGUGAUCCGACGGUGCUGUGUGGAAGGGCCGUCGCUCAACGGAUAAAAGUUACUCUAGGAUAACAGGCUGAUCUCCCCCAAGAGUUCACAUCGACGGGGAGGUUUGGCACCUCGAUGUCGGCUCAUCGCAACCUGGGGCGGAAGUACGUCCCAAGGGUUGGGCUGUUCGCCCAUUAAAGCGGUACGUGAGCUGGGUUCAGAACGUCGUGAGACAGUUCGGUCCAUAUCCGAUGUAGGCGUGAGAAUAUUGAGAGGAGCCUUCCUUAGUACGAGAGGACCGGGAAGGACGCACCGCUGGUGUACCUGUUAUGAUGCCAAUUGUAAACGCAGGGUAGCCAAGUGCGGAGAGGAUAACCGCUGAAAGCAUCUAAGUGGGAAGCCCACCUCAAGAUGAGUAUUCUGGUGUAAGGUCACGGGAAGACGACCCGUAAAUAGGCACGAGGUGGAAGUGCAGAGAUGUAUGAAGCCGAAGUGUACUAAUAGACCGUCGGCUUGAC